CAGCUCCUGGUCCAGGCUAGGUGUUAAAGGGUUUAUUCCUUCACUCACUUACUUCCCUGGUCCUUCUCACAUGAACAGAGAGCCACAAUAACCGAAGUCCAAAGGUGCAAACAAUUCGAUUGUUUAUUGGGGUGAACUUCCAGCAAGCAUGA